GACGAACGCUGGCGGCGUGCUUAACACAUGCAAGUCGAACGGAAAGGCCCUGCUUUUGUGGGGUGCUCGAGUGGCGAACGGGUGAGUAACACGUGAGUAACCUGCCCUUGACUUUGGGAUAACUUCAGGAAACUGGGGCUAAUACCGGAUAGGAGCUCCUGCUGCAUGGUGGGGGUUGGAAAGUUUCGGCGGUUGGGGAUGGACUCGCGGCUUAUCAGCUUGUUGGUGGGGUAGUGGCUUACCAAGGCUUUGACGGGUAGCCGGCCUGAGAGGGUGACCGGCCACAUUGGGACUGAGAUACGGCCCAGACUCCUACGGGAGGCAGCAGUGGGGAAUAUUGCACAAUGGGCGGGAGCCUGAUGCAGCAACGCCGCGUGCGGGAUGAAGGCCUUCGGGUUGUAAACCGCUUUCGCCUGUGACGAAGCGUGAGUGACGGUAAUGGGUAAAGAAGCACCGGCUAACUACGUG
rnacentral:rRNA from 1 species